rnacentral:rRNA from 1 species
GGUAUCAGAAGUGCGAAUGCUGACGUGAGUAACGACAAAACGGGUGAAAAACCCGUUCGCCGAAAGACCAAGGGUUCCAGUCCAACGUUAAUCGGGGCUGGGUGAGUCGACCCCUAAGGCGAGGCCGAAAGGCGUAGUCGAUGGGAAAAUGGUUAAUAUUCCAUUACUUCUGUGUAAUGCGAUGAGAGGACGGAGAAGGCUAAAUCAGCCUGGCGUUGGUUGUCCAGGUGAAAGGAUGUAGGCAUGUAUCUUAGGCAAAUCCGGGGUACUCUAUGCUGAGAUCUGAUAGCAAGCUGUACUUGUACAGCGAAGUGGUUGAUGCCAUGCUUCCAGGAAAAGUCUCUAAGCUUCAGUUACACAGGAAUCGUACCCGAAACCGACACAGGUGGUCAGGUCGAGUAGACCAAGGCGCUUGAGAGAACUCUGCUGAAGGAACUAGGCAAAAUGGUACCGUAACUUCGGGAGAAGGUACGCUGUUGUUGGUGAUGGAACUCGCUUCCUGAGCUGACGACAGCCGCAGAAACCAGGCCGCUGCAACUGUUUAUUAAAAACAUAGCACUCUGCAAACACGAAAGUGGACGUAUAGGGUGUGAUGCCUGCCCGGUGCUGGAAGGUUAAUUGAUGGGGUUAGCGUAAGCGAAGCUCUUGAUCGAAGCCCCAGUAAACGGCGGCCGUAACUAUAACGGUCCUAAGGUAGCGAAAUUCCUUGUCGGGUAAGUUCCGACCUGCACGAAUGGCAUAAUGAUGGCGGCGCUGUCUCCAGCAGAGGCUCAGUGAAAUCGAAAUCGCUGUGAAGAUGCAGUGUACCCGCGGCUAGACGGAAAGACCCCGUGAACCUUUACUGCAGCUUGACACUGAACUUUGACCUUACUUGUGUAGGAUAGGUGGGAGGCUUUGAAGCUGGAACGCUAGUUCCAGUGGAGCCGUCCUUGAAAUACCACCCUGGUAAUGUUGAGGUUCUAACUCUGUCCCGUGAUCCGGGACGAGGACCGUGUCUGGUGGGUAGUUUGACUGGGGCGGUCUCCUCCUAAAGAGUAACGGAGGAGUACGAAGGUGCGCUCAGCGUGGUCGGAAAUCACGCGUAGAGUAUAAAGGCAAAAGCGCGCUUAACUGCGAGACCCACAAGUCGAGCAGGUACGAAAGUAGGUCUUAGUGAUCCGGUGGUUCUGUAUGGAAGGGCCAUCGCUCAACGGAUAAAAGGUACUCUGGGGAUAACAGGCUGAUACCGCCCAAGAGUUCAUAUCGACGGCGGUGUUUGGCACCUCGAUGUCGGCUCAUCUCAUCCUGGGGCUGAAGCAGGUCCCAAGGGUAUGGCUGUUCGCCAUUUAAAGAGGUACGCGAGCUGGGUUUAGAACGUCGUGAGACAGUUCGGUCCCUAUCUACCGUGGGCGCUGGAAAUUUGAGAGGAUCUGCUCCUAGUACGAGAGGACCAGAGUGGACGAACCUCUGGUGUACCGGUUGUGACGCCAGUCGCAUCGCCGGGUAGCUAUGUUCGGAAGGGAUAACCGCUGAAAGCAUCUAAGCGGGAAGCCUACCUCAAGAUAAGAUUUCCCUAGGACUUUAUGUCCUCUAAAGAGCCGUUCGAGACUAGGACGUUGAUAGGUUGGAUGUGGAAGCAUAGUGAUAUGUGAAGCUGACCAAUACUAAUUGCUCGUGAGGCUUGACUAU